rnacentral:lncRNA from 1 species
AAAUAUAACAACUUUUUUUUUUAUUAUUAAACUUCUCAUUUUUCACUCAUUUUAUCUUAUUUUUUUAUCAUUUCAUUUUCCAGUACACCUUUUAUUUACUUUUAGGGCGUGUUUGGUUCGCUUCUUUUUCACCCUGGAAUCGUAAACGGAAUGGAUAAAUCCGUUUGUGGGUGUUUGGUACGCGGGAGUUCCAUUCCAAUUCCGAUUCCCGAGUGGAAUG